AAGAAACAGAGAGCGAGUGGCCUGCAUGCGUAAUGAACGCGGGAAGUUUCCCCAUCCGUCGCCCUCAACACGAGCCGCUCGUCCACAACGGCACCACCGAGGAGUCCGACGCUUUAAUGGCGCCCGUCAGCUCCUCCGUUGUCCGCCUCCCCUCCCUCUCCUCUCAGCCCCCAGUGCAGUGACCUCCUUCUUGCUCCAUCAAUGGCGGAUCUGCAGAAGCACCUCAAGGACCUGCUCAAGAAAGGGAUGGAGGUGGUCGGCUCCUCCUGCAAGAAGGGCUGGUACCGAGUUCGAAAUCUCAGGUGACGAAGCUGCUCCCGUCCCACCUCAAAACAGAAGGAGAAAGGGAAAGGAGGGGAGAAAGAAAGACUGUUGAUUCGUCUUCUACCUCUCUUCUUCUCAGUAGAUGCCCUCCUUUGUCUUCGUCUCUACCAGCAAAGUUAAUGUACGUUUCAACUUGUUGCAGGUUCAUCAUCUGUUAUCAGCAACAUUAUAGACACAUCAAUGCAUCUAUUGAUUUGUUGUGUGUUGUUUCUUUAGUUUCAGAUAAUUCUCUCCUAUACAUAUUAUAUUUUAAGACUCUAAUCAUCUUUGUUAUUCGUUUGUUAUAUUACUUUAUUUUCACAUAAACCAUUGAAGAAAUAAUGGAUGAUUAAUAUCUCAUAGACUUUCACCAGAUGGGAGUAUAUAUUAUUAUUUAUAUUAUUAGAGAGGUUAUUUUCGUGAGUCGGAAUGAUCUUAGUAUUCACCUUCAAAAUUCUACUCUUUUGUCUGAAAAUUUUCGAAGUGAAGCCAAUCUGAUAAUAUUUUAUUUCUUAGCACUAUAUAUAAAACCAUUAUUGUAUUUUAUAUAGUAAUUAAGAGUAUGUAACUACAUAUGUUAAUUUGUGUCUCAGGUGUGAAGUGCCGACCUGUUGUGGAGGUUUGAGAGACAAUGUUGAGACAGCCUGCAGCCUCAAGACAUUUGUUUGUGUGUGUGAGAGAGAGAGAGAGAGAGGAAUUUGAUCGGGCAAGUUAAAUGCAAAUUGUAUACUCUUAGAUUAGCACUAUAAUAAUAAUAAUAAUAAUAAAGUUGAUUAUGUGAGCAAUA
rnacentral:lncRNA from 1 species